rnacentral:tRNA from 1 species
ACUUAUAUAUUAUAAACCAUUAUAUUUGACUUCCAAUCAAAAGAUCUAUAAAUUAGUAUAAGUA